UACGAGGGGGGCAAGCGUUGUUCGGAUUCAUUGGGCGUAAAGGGUGCGUAGGUGGCGCCAUAAGUCAGGUGUGAAAUCUCGGGGCUCAACCCCGAAACUGCACUUGAUACUGCCUUGCUCGAGUACUGGAGAGGAGAUUGGAAUUUACGGUGUAGCAGUGAAAUGCGUAGAUAUCGUAAGGAAGACCAGUGGCGAAGGCGAAUCUCUGGACAGUUACUGACACUGAGGCACGAAGGCCAGGGGAGCAAACGGG
rnacentral:rRNA from 1 species